UUAGACUAUUUUCUUGAGUUUCAUCUCUGUCACACUCCACUUUGUGUACCCAAGAAAGUUGCUGUUCCCGCAUCACAGCACCAUCAGAGGCUUUGUUGACCUGCUAUCAUCAGCCAACAGCUACAAAACCUGAAAAGCAUCCUCAGAAGAGAGGGGAUGCCCACCCAUUCCCCCGCUCCAUGCACACUAUGAACUGAGUGGUUGUGUGGACAGACAGGACCUGCAACUUGAGCUCAUCAAGAAACCUGAAGCACACUCUCAGCCACUCACCCAUCUCCUGCUCAUCUCUGUUGGAAACGCUACCGGCCAAGACCAGCCAAACCAAACAGGUGUCAGUGCGCACUCAGACUCUCCAAGGAUGAGAGUCUCUUCUGUGGCUACCAGAUUGUACCCUGAUGCCGGCCAGCUCCUGGCGUCUGCCACUGGCCCUCCCAAGAUGGCAGUCUGUGGGGACAUAGUUCAGGCACAUGAUGCAGCUUCUUCCAAGUCUAGUUCCAUUGGCAAAAUGAAACUCCCUGCCAAAAGAAAGCCAGCUUGUCUGGUCCACGAGGCACCCAUAAUACCUGGUGAGUCACCCGCCCUGAGAUGGCAGGGACCUUUGGAGACUAGUCCUCGCUUGGUGGACUAGUGUGAGGAGAGAGACAAAAGGAAGAUGCCCAAGGCAAACGUCAGGGCUUGCAACACAAUCUUACUCUAGAAAGCAGCAACAGGGGCAAAGAUGCAAUGGCAAACUUAAAACAAUUGUUCUUGCAAAAAGAAGGUAAGGCAGGAGAUUGUACACAGGAACUUAAAAAGAAAAUGUAAAGCUUCCCAUGACGUGGCUGUCUCACCUCUCCAGCCUGUGUGCUACACCUCUCUUCUGCCCACCUGAAUUCAUAUCCACGGGCCUACACACCUGGGGACCCGCUAUCCCUGCCACUGUCUGUCAGUCAUCUUCCUCCGAGAGGGCAGUUUCCGACUCCGUCCUCUCUGGCAUCUCAUCCAGAGGCCUGGAGAGACAUCACCUCUUCCCUCCACUCCACAUCCUGGCUACUCCUCCCUCCACUUCGUUUCCUCAUUGAUGGCUACCCUGUCCGACCUUUGAUGCAGCCGCACAGGGCCUUGCCUCUCUAAUGAGUCUUUGUGUCUCCAACCCCGUCUUAAACAAUUUUGUAUGCCCCAGGGAUACAGGCUCCACAGGGCCCUGAACACUGUCAGGCCUUGGGCAAUGCUUACGUAUUUGACUGGUUAUCCAAGAUGGAUUUUGAGGAAAUGAAAGGAUGCACAGCCAUGAAGAACUAUGGAAAAAUUAAAUGAAGCCACGAGCCUGGGAGCAGGCGGUUCCUUCUUGGGGGCAGUAGUUUAAUGGAUUUUCCAUUCUAGGCAAUCCCCUGAUAGCCCUAGAACCCACCCCCCGAGACCCAAGGAAGGAGGUGGUUGGGUGAACUGUGCUCUGCAAUCAAACAAGACCAUACAUGCCGAUCCAGGCAAGCUAAACGAUGUUAGCUUCACAACCGCAGGUGAUGAGAACGGUAUUUAUGGCUCGAUGACAUGUCUUAAGUGGUGAGUCCCAGAGGCAAGCAUCUGAAGCUGGACAUCCUGAGACCCUGAUGCUCUGUUUUUGUUCUCCUCCCUGUCCUUCCCUCCCAGAGGCCUGGAACUUUCCAUGUAAUUUGGAUGAAAGCAGAAAUCAUCUGUUGUUUCUCAGUCCUUACUCAUACUAGGGAAGGAUUUAAAAUCUGCUUUGUAGAAGGGUGGUUGGUAAUGAGUGGAAAGAUUCUAUUGCCUCGAAAUGGCAUUUGCCGUUACGUCAAAACCUCCUUCAGAAAUUUUCACAGUUCUAGGCAGCGACAGAAGCCAUUUUGUCCUCUGAGACCCCCCCCCCACCCCAGGGACAUGGAGCUAGAAUUGGCAGUGGAGAGUCCUUAUUGGGAGAUGAACACAUCUUAGACAAGAAGUUCUGGAGAGUCCAGGUUCACCUGAAAAAGAAUUUUAUUUGGGGGGUGCUAGAGAGAUGGCUAGGUAUUUAGAGCAUUGGCUGCUUUUCCAGAGGACUCAAGUGCAAUUUCCAGUUCCCACAUGGCAGCUCACAACCAUAUGUAACUCCAGUCCCAGGGGAUCUGACUCCCUCUUUGGCGUCAGUCAGCACUGCAUGUACAUGGUACCUAUGCAUGCAUUCAGGUAAA